CUCUGUCUCUUUCCUCUUUUCUAUUCUGUUGAAGAGAACAUGGAUAUGAUGAUAUAUGCAGCUUGAAUAGUGCAAAGAUGAAAAAUCUGUGAGAGAAGCUCUGAAUGUUUCUGACAGAAGUGCUGCUGGCUUGAAUGGAAGAUGAGUUGUUAUUCAGAACAUUUUUCAACCAGAAUACUUUUUAAUCAAACUGUUGGAGGAAGUGACUUUGAAACAAAGAACACCCAAGAAAUGUAAAAGUUUGUCUGAUGCCCUCAAAUACUAGUGAAAUGAAAUGAAAUUCAGUGUCAUCCUUGAAAAUACAUACAGGUACUUCCUUUCCAU
rnacentral:lncRNA from 1 species